ACUGUAGCUUUGAAAUAUGUUUUGAAAUUCAGAAGUAUAAAUUAUCUGAUUUUGUUCCUUUUCAAGAUUGUUUUGGUCAGUCUGAUUCCCUUGAUUUCCACAUGAAUAUGAGGACAAUCUUAAAAAUUUCUACUAGAAAGGCAGUUACCCUGGAUAACACUUCCAGUACAGUGCUGAAUGGAUGUGGUGAAAGUAGACAACUUUAUCUGCGUCUGUCCUUUCAUAAUUAAGACAACUAUUUAUUAAAUUGUGAAAAGAAAGCAGGGCUCAAAUCACGUUGCUCUAAUUGAAAUGGAAAGUGAAUACACCUUGUUUCAAUCCUUCCACUUUAAAAUGGCAUAAAAUAUGUAUUAACUUUCUAUUUUGGUAUUGAGAGAAUAAAUUAGAAUUUGAUGAUGCCCUUCAAAAUUAAAUAUGUGAAUUCAUAGGACAAAGUUAUGGGGCAUGAUUAGGAAAAUUCGUAAGUGAGGGAUGAAACCUGGGGUCAUUUUUCCUUCCUAGAGAUCAGAAUUAUUAAUAAAUCAUGACCUUUAUUCUGAAAGAAGGAAGGCUGGGGUGCCAGUGACUUUCCUGAAAGACACACGAAAACGUAUGCCUGCCCUGGGGACAAUGAAUAACUUCUACACAUAUAUUGGUUUGAGCCCCCUUUGUUUAGGAAUCCUGCUUGCUUGCUCUUUUUAUAUGAUGUUUUCAUAAAUAAAUUAUGAUCCCAGUUAAUGUAAAAGUAGGUUGUAAAAGGAUUUCCCUCUUGGGCCAAUAAUGUGUCCCCUCCGAAGAAUAAGAAAAAAAGUAUCAGAGUGCUUCCUUCCCCCUUUUUCUGUUGCUGGAAAUGUUUUCGAUAUGGCUGCACAAAUAAAUGCAGUAAGGUUGUGGGCA